GCGGCGCUGCACGCUGUGUGCCUUCAGAGCCGGCUGGAAGCGGCCGCCGCGGCUGGCACCCGCCGCUCCGCACUCCUCCACCCUCCGAGGCCUCCCCUGCCCCGCGGGCGCCCACCCUAAGCUCCCUGGGCCCUGCAGACCUGCAAACCCGAGGCGGAGAGCGGAUUUGCCUUUGGCUUUUCCCGCCGGACUUGGCAGAGAGGUUCCGGCGGGAAUCUGGGCUGGCGCUGGCGAUGCGCAGCCAAGGAAGGCGAGGCGCUGCGUCCAUGCGGGGUGCUCUCCCGGAGCGAGGAGGCGGGAUGCCCUCGCCGGGUCCGCGGGGCCCUCUGCACCCGCCUGGACCGUGCGCCCACCCCCGGACCCGGGAACGCGGCCCUUGGGAGCCGCAGCCAGUGAACUCCGCGCCUUCUCCGCGGGUCCCGAGCGCAGAGGCCGGCCACCAGCUCCUUGACCUUGGAUGGAAAGGGGGCCAUGCGGUGGGGUGCUCCGGACGCCCCGUGUGGAUUACUUGGUGUGGAUCAGCCGGGCUCAGAAGACUCGCGACCCCGUCUCCGUCCACGGAUUGAUUCAUUCUGCCUGGCGGUGGGGCCGCUUACCUGGAGGUGCACUCAGAGGUUGGUGGCCAACCUGGGCAGGUGCUCCGAACCAAGGAAGGACGGGGAAGAAGGUGACCCGGUGCACGCCAGGCCUAGGAAGCAGGACUGGGCAAAGGGCCGCCUUCCUCACCCUCACCACCCACCAGGAAUGUGUGCCACCGGGCGCCCCCUGAAGGUCCUGGCUCCGAUGCAACCAUCUCUUAAGAGGCAAGAACUCUGCAUUGGAUGGAGAAAUCUCAUUUUGGAGACUAUAUAAAGAAGGUUCGGGAUUUGAGAAGACACUUGAGGAGAAAGCCAAGACCCUCGCUCUGAGAAAUAGUGGGUGCGAUGACCUGCAUGCGCUGGGGGACGCGUCGUGGUUGGGGCCAACCUACGGAGAAGACACCGGUGUCCCAGACCUUGCUUCUCCUUCUUACGGAAAACCCUUCCUCUGCAGCCGCCGGCUCCGAAGGCUGCCCUCCCCCCACCCCCAGGAACCCCAGGGCUUCCUGCCACCCCCUUUUUGCCCCCCACCUCCACGCCUGCUGUGCAGCGAUUCUUGUUUGCUCCGUCGUCUUCUAGCGGAUACAGAGUGAAUCGUUAACUACACUUAGGUCAAAAGGAUCUGCGUUUUUUGUUCCUGCUCCUGCUCAAGACACGUGUGUGCCGCUGUGCGCACAGCCUUGGAGGAGUCUUCCUUCUCGUCUCCUCGGGUCUGGCCGCGUGGGUUCCAGAGGGAUGCUGAUCUGUGCAGGGACGUUCCUCGGGGGCUCGGGGACGCUGGCAGGGACUCCGGCGGGGGAGCUGGAUCUGGAUCGUGAAGGCUGGCGUUCUCCAUGCCCAACCGUCUUGGCCGGGAUCACACACACGGGUGGACAUCUGGAGGAGCAGAAAAUGACUCUGUUGUUUAUUCCAGCCGCCUUCUGUUGAGCCAGAGGCACAGUCAGCUGCACGACCCUCUCCUCUCAGGUGGCCGUUGGGGUCCACACCAGAACUUGGGGCUUCUUUAUGGACCAUCCAGCUACCAGCGCUGGUGGAAUUUGUGGCGGACCCUCUUCCUCCCGGGGCGUGCCGAUGGCACACACACCCGGCAAUGGAUUGGGCCCCACGCGACGCGAGUCCUGUUCGUUUCGUUCACUCUGUAGCCUCCAUACGCGUGGACGGAAAUACUUCCUAGAUGUCUACCCAUGUCAGCCUUGGCCAGAAUGCACGGCCAAGCAGGUGUGUCCUCUCAGUGUCCACAGUGAAUGGAUGGCUUGCCUUUGCAAAAAAGGAUUAAAGCUAGACCUGUCUA